rnacentral:rRNA from 1 species
ACAACGGAGGCGCAAGGGCUGUCGCUGACCUUCAAAGGUCGUGCACGCCCGAGCCCCUCUCACAAUCCAUCUCACCCUUUGUGCAUCACCGCGUGGGUCCCCUUUGCGGGAGGGCUCACGUUUUCACAUAAAACUCGAUACAGUGUAGAAUGUUUUAUUUUGCGGUCACACGCGAUCAAUACAACUUUCAACAACGGAUCUCUUGGCUCUCGCAUCGAUGAAGAACGCAGCGAAAUGCGAUACGUAAUGUGAAUUGCAGAAUUCAGUGAAUCAUCGAAUCUUUGAACGCACCUUGCGCCCCUUGGCAUUCCGAGGGGCACACCCGUUUGAGUGUCGUGAAAUCCUCAAAACCCCCUUCUUUGGGAGUUUUGGACUUGGAGGUUUAAUGCUCGCUUUCGCCUUUGAAGGCGAGCUCCUCUCAAACGAAUCAGUGGGGUCUGCUUUGCUGGUCCUUGACGUGAUAAGAUGUUUCUACGUUUUGGACUUGGCAUCGUUCCUGCUCCUAAUCGUCUCAUGGGACAAUGAUGGUGCUUCCGGUCACCGCCAUCCACAUUGGCGGGGGGAGGCCGGACCCACAAAAAAACCUUGA